rnacentral:rRNA from 1 species
GACGGAGGGGGCUAGCGUUGUUCGGAAUUACUGGGCGUAAAGCGCGUGUAGGCGGCUAAGUAAGUCGGGCGUGAAAUCCCACGGCUCAACCGUGGAAGUGCACUCGAAACUGCGUAGCUAGAGUCCUGGAGAGGAAGGUGGAAUGCUUGGUGUAGAGGUGAAAUUCGUAGAUAUCAAGCGGAACACCGGUGGCGAAGGCGGCCUUCUGGACGGUGACUGACGCUGAGACGCGAAAGCGUGGGGAGCAAACAGG